GUAUUACCUGGUCAUUGAUAAUGUAUGUGUUAUGUUACCAUUAUUGUAUCACAGGGUUAAUUUGAUUAUAAUAUGAUCCGGACAUUACGGUCCGAGUUUUAGUAUGAUCCGGACAUUGCGGUCCAAGCUUUAGUAUGAUCCGGACAUUGCGGUCCGGACGUUAGUCGUACCCUUUGGCAAUCUUAGAGGAAGUUUGCAAUGGCGUGCUCCGGCACUGUACACAUUUCAUGUCAAAGGAAACUUUAGGUCCCCCACAGGUCUUUUACCUUCCUCCGGGGAGUUUUGUGGAAUAAAGUCGUAUAACAUCACA